GGCGGCCGUAACAAUAACGGUCCUAAGGUAGCGAAAUUCCUUGUCGGGUAAGUUCCGACCUGCACGAAUGGCGUAACGAUGGCGGCGCUGUCUCCACCCGAGACUCAGUGAAAUUGAAAUCGCUGUGAAGAUGCAGUGUAUCCGCGGCUAGACGGAAAGACCCCGUGAACCUUUACUAUAGCUUUGCACUGGACUUUGAAUUUGCUUGUGUAGGAUAGGUGGGAGGCUUUGAAGCGUGGACGCCAGUUCGCGUGGAGCCAACCUUGAAAUACCACCCUGGUAAUUUCGGAGUUCUAACCUCGAUCGGUAUAUCCCGGUCAGGGACAAUGUAUGGUGGGUAGUUUGACUGGGGCGGUCUCCUCCCAAAGAGUAACGGAGGAGUGCGAAGGUAACCUCAGCGCGGUCGGAAAUCGCGCAGUGAGUGCAUAGGCAUAAGGUUGCUUGACUGCAAGACAAACAAGUCGAGCAGGUACGAAAGUAGGUCUAAGUGAUCCGGUGGUUCUGUAUGGAAGGGCCAUCGCUCAACGGAUAAAAGGUACUCUGGGGAUAACAGGCUGAUACUGCCCAAGAGUCCAUAUCGACGGCAGUGUUUGGCACCUCGAUGUCGGCUCAUCGCAUCCUGGGGCUGUAGCAGGUCCCAAGGGUUUGGCUGUUCGCCAAUUAAAGUGGUACGUGAGCUGGGUUCAGAACGUCGCGAGACAGUUUGGUCCCUAUCUGCCGUGGGCGUUGGAAAUUUGAAGGGGGCUGUUCCUAGUACGAGAGGACCGGAAUGGACGUAUCUCUGGUGUACCGGUUGUCACGCCAGUGGCAUUGCCGGGUAGCUAAAUACGGAAGAGAUAAACGCUGAAAGCAUCUAAGCGUGAAACUUGCCUUAAGAUAAGAUUUCCCUGAGGACUUGAUCCUCCUGAAGGGCCGUUGAAGACCACGACGUUGAUAGGCUGGGUGUGGAAGCGCAGUAAUGCGUUAAGCUAACCAGUACUAAUUGCCCGU
rnacentral:rRNA from 1 species